rnacentral:lncRNA from 1 species
UUUUUUUUUUUUUUUUUUUUUUGAGCCAUUAAACUUUUGCCCCUUGGCAAGGGCAGUGCCUGCAUAGAUAGCAAGGCUCCUUUGUGAUAUGCCCACAGGAAAACAAAAAAGUCUGGAUGUACACUGCUUUGCAGUGAUCUAAAAAGCCACGAGUUCCAUUCCUCCAUUAAUAAUUCCACAGUAUUUAAUUGCUUUUAAAAUAAUUCUACAAACAUACAAUUUGAUGACAGGCUAAAAUUGAAGCUUUUUAAAAAGAGGAUAGUAUACUGUUUAGAUAUGAAGAUUAAUAAUUCAUUAAAAUGUAUUCAUUAGAAUAAUAAAAAAUUCCUCAUGUAUAAAAUCUUUUGAUUUUUCUCUAUGGUAUAAAUAUAUUCAUUGAUUGCUAUUUAAAUAGAUAUUUAAAUCUUUAGGAUGUUAAAAAUAUUCAAUAAUAUAGCCAAUGAAUUUUAAAAAAUAACUGCUAAUGUAGGUAUAUGUAUAUAUAUGUAUGGCUAUGUGUCCGUGCAUAUAUUUAUAUUUCCUAGUAAGCCGGUGUAACUUAAUACCUUUUCCAUUUUCUAAGUGUAUCACUAAGGAGCAUAGGACAAUAAAUUUGAUAUUGUACAACUAAACUAAAAACCUGACAAAUUAUAUAUAAAGUUUAAUACUAUAAAUUCAAUAUUGUUUAUAAUCAAUGAAUUUCAAAAUCUCUUUAUAAUAAGUUCAGUACAGACAAAACUAUAAUUUGAGGAAUGCUUGUUUGGUACAUAAGUAGAGUUGAAUAUAAACACUGAAAAAGAUGAGACCUUUUGUUACACAUAGAAGUAUUAAGCUUCAGCAUGAAGAAGAUAAUAUUAUAGCUCAAGAUUUUAAGAUAGUUACUACAUAUUAAUUUUGCAUUAAUCCAAUAAUUUCCAAAGAAUUAAAAUAAUUGUAAUUUAUAAUGUCAUCAUAUAAAUAAGUUGCCAAAUGGGAAUUUUAUCUCAAUUUCAAAGAGAGGACUUGAUUUAUUUUAUUUAUAUGAAAGAAAUAUAUUCAGUCUAGCUAACUAAAAAGAGAUGAAAAAUAUUUUAAGAAAUCAAAAUCAAAUCAAAGCUCAAUUGUGUUUCUGAAUCCUACAAUAAAUAGUAAAGUGUAAAUGUAACAGAAACAACAAAUCUGGUCAUAUUCAACUCAUACUAUCUGUUUUAUCUGUUUUGCAUAGUAAAUUUGUUUUGAUAAUAUUCAGAUGGUCUAUAAAUGAGAAGUAAAUCUGUGAAAUAUAUUAAGCUAUCAACAAGUACUAUGACAUCUGACUCAUAUAAAGCAUAUAUCAAGGAACACUGGAUACUCCUUAGUACACUCAAAGCAACUUGCUUAAGGUCAUAUGCAGCCAUUUUGUUAAAGAAUCACUCUGCAUGAGCAAGUUGGCCAUGUGUUUGCUAUGUCACUUGAUGUUUACAGCAUCAUUACAUCAAGUUUGACACAAAUUUUAUGACUCAGUUUGUCAAAGUUCUUUAACUCCAUCACUCAAACGAUCACUUUCUGAGAGUAAAAGAGAGUUGGCAAGUAGAGGACAUAUAUUUCCUAAGACUGAGUUUGUGAAAUUAUGUUUAAAAGUAGAAUUAAACUUUCAUAUUCUGACUGUACAUAUAACUUGUGCAAAUUGCUGUGUGGUGAAAUAAACAUUUCUUUAUAAAAUUUUGAUGUAUUUGGUCAUAUUAUGCUAAGUACCAGAAUGUUAUAGAGUGUUAUUAGAAGGCAUUUAAAGUAGAAUAUUUCAAAGCAAUCAUGUCUCUUGUGAUCUUAAAAUAUUUUAAUGGUAAACUGGUACUACUGAUAAAGCUUUAAAGUGAAAAAGUAUUUUUUGUAAUUAUUCAAAUCAUGAAAUGUAUUAUUUUGCUAAUGACUUUAAGAGCUUUCUUAACUAUCUUUAGAUUUACAAGUGGUCUUUGUGAUAUUUAGAUAAAUAAGGUUUUAAAAAUAAUUAGAGCCAAGAAAUGUGGUAUAUACAGUAUUUCCACACUUACUGUAUCAUUAUCACAUAUUUAUCCAGUAGUCAUGAGCACAUGAAACUAUGUUAGACACUAUGGAGUUACUGUCAUCUACUUCAGAAAAUCUAUGCUCUAGAGCAUCUUCUGAACUAAUAAAAGAUUUUUUUUAAAUGCUAUAGUCAAAUUGUCUAUAUAGAGAGCAACAUAAAUUAGAUUAAGAAAUGGAAUUUUAAAUUAGAAUGAAAGAAUUUACAAUCAAAAAAGAAGACAGGGCAGUUUUCCAUACAGAAAUAGAAAAACUAUUUUAUAUUAUAAAAUAGAAACUCUCAAAAUACACAUAAAUAAGGACAGAGAAAGCACAAAUCACAUAAUUGGAACUAACUGGGAGUAGUUGGGAAAGUUUUCUGAAUGAAUAUUAUUUGGAAAAGCAAAUGACUGGCAAACAAACUGAGAGGAAUUUCAGACAGUAAGAAUGAUAACUGUAAAGAAUGAAGGAUGUCUAGACAAAUUUAAAAUGUAGCCCUCAGUUGCAUUAGACUCAGUGACAAAACAAGCUUGUGCAGAAGGCAAAAGGCAAAAGGCAGAGAACUAUCCACAGAAAAGCUAGUUUCUAAUAUACUAAUGAAAAAUUGGAAGAGUUAUUUGUGUUACUUAAGGGCAGUGAAGUAGAAGUGAGUGUGUGAGAAUGAGUGUGUAUGUGUGUACACUGUAUAAGAACUAUACAGAGGGACGCCUGGGGGCUCAGUGGUUGAGCAUCUGCCUUUGGUUCAGGGCAUGAUCCCGGGAUCCUGGGAUCAAGUCCCGAGUUGGGCUCCCCAUAGGGAGAAUUUCUUUCUCCAUACUAUAAAUACAAUAGGGUCUUUUGUGUCUAGGUUAAAUACAUAUAUGUCAAAAACAUCCAUAUAUUUUUUAAGAACUUUAAUGAAAAACAUCAUUUCUAUCUAAACCCUUGAAGAGCAUUUCAAAGUUUGACAUGCAUCUGUCAAGACAUUUUUAUAUCCAUUUAUACCCACUACACAUAACACACACAUACAAUUUCUAUUUGGAACAAAAAUGGAUUUAUACUACUUACGUUACUUGUUUUUUCACUUUGCUCCAUAUCAUGGACAGUUUUCAACCUCAGAUUUACCUUGUUUUUUGUUAUUGUUGUUUGUUUUUGUUUUUACUGGCUGAACAGAAUUCAGUGUAUGCAUGUACAAUGGUUUACUUAUUUUUCUUUCGAGAAAUUCUUAGAUUUUUUCAUUACCUAUCACAAAUAUUGAUUCUGUGAUUAUCUUUAUGUAUUUAUAUUUGAAAGUUUGUGUGAGCAUGACUGUUGAAUAAAUUUAAAAGUGGAAAAGCUAGAAAUUUAUAUUUGAAAGAAAGAUUUAAAGUGGUGGUAAACUUUCACUCAUGGGUAGUACUGAACGUAAGUAUAGAUUUUGGUUGAAGGAAAACAUUUAGGAACAGAAAGAAGACCUGAGAAUUAUGAACAUAAUUAUACCUGAAUAAAAGCACUAUAGAGAAAGGUGGCAGGCAGAAAUUCAAAAGUAAGAAGUUAAAGAUAAAUCUUGUUAUGCCAUGUAUCUUAAGUUUUGUAGAAGUAGUAUAAAUGAAAAACAUAAUAAGUUUGUGAUUUGAAAAAGAUAAGUGACCAGGAAGCAAAUUCUAAAGAGAGCCAAAAUUGACAACUGGAUAAUGGCCUUCAAUUAUUAAAAGUUAAGAGUCUUUAUUCUUAGAAAGAAGUGCCUGUUGGUAGGGAGGUGAUACUGAAAUCAGCCAUAAGAUCACUGUCACAUUAAGGAAUAAUUUUAUAAAGACUCAUGAUGAAAAUAUAAAUCAGGAAUGGCCAGGCAGAGAUAGAGAAGUAGAAGUAGAAACAUGUUUCAAAAAAGUAUGGCAGUGGAGGAAAGUAGAUUUGACACAGCAUCUAUCUUCAUAAAGGACACUUGUUGAAAUAAAUUAAAGGAGAGUAAGCACAAAAUAAUUGUUAAUUCUCAUGACAUGAAUUAGUUGGGCUUGAAAUGAUUUGCUCUCAUGUGGUAGAUCGGAGUCAUAGAAUGGAAUAUUAAAUUAGAAUGGACAAAAAGGGAUUUGGAGAUAUUUUAUUAUAGGUCAUAAAGCCAAAGCAUUUUCUUUUUUAAAAAAGAUUUUAUUUAUUUAUUCAUGAGAGACACAGAGAGAGGCAGAGGGCGAAGCAGGCUCUAUGCAGGGAGCCCGAUCUGGGACUGCGGGAUCACACUCUGAGCUGAAGGCAGAUGCUCAACCCCUGAGCCACCCAUGUCCCUUCAAAGCAUUUUCUAAUUCAAAUAUUUGUAACAUGAGAAGAAAAGUGAGGCAGUGGGAGCUGUUAAAUUUUACCAGACUGCUCUAAACAUACAGUUGUAGAAGACUAUAAACUUUAACAUUUGACUACAUUUUUAAAAAUGUGAAAAAACUGUUGGUCAAUACUGAAUAAAUUUAAUGGUAUGUAUUGGCAGUUUUGACAGAAGAUAAAAGAAAAAAUAAACAUGCUUACUGAUCAUGCCACAUCCCAAAGAUUAAAGUAAGUUUUCAUGAGUAUUUUUGUUUUAUACAUGUUACAUGCAUCGUCACCCAUUCUCAUAAACAAUUGACAGAUUCUGAAAAAAAUCAAAAAGCAUGAAUAGAAUUUUAUACUAAUGUGACAAGUUGUAAACUUAUUGUGUUGAAAUUGAAUACAGGUUUUCUAAAUUAAAGUAUUAAAAGGACUGUAUGCAUGGCCAACACCCUAACAAUAUAUAAUACUGAUAAAUGAAAGCAGGGGAAAAAUUGAAUAUAGCUGAUGAACUGAUACUACAAACAGUUUAAAGAUGGUAAAAAGUACCAGAAAACAGACUCUUAACUAUAGUGGAUGAACUGAGGCUUACUGGAAGGGAAGGAGAUGGGGGGGAAGAAAGGGGGAUGGAUUGAAUAGGUGAUGGAGAUUAAGGAAUGCACUUCUGAUGAGCACUGGGAGUUGCAGGUAAGUGAUGAAUUACUAAAUUCUACUCCUGAAACUAAUAUUACACUGUAUGUAAACUAGCCAGAAGUUAAACAAAAACUUGAAAGAGAAAAAACAGUAAUAGCUAAAUAUUAAAAAAAGGUAAUUUACAUUUAGCAAAUAUUUUUAGUAUUAUAUAUAUGAGACUAUACAUAUUAUGAUAAUUAUCAUUAUGUACAUUAUAAUUAUGAAUAUGUAAUUAUACAUAAUUAUUAAAAAUAAAAUGAAAUAAAUAAUGUAAACUAUUUUCUGCUUUCUACAUAGGUUGAACCCCAUAUUUAAUAUAUGAAGUUUUUAUAAUAUUUUAUAUUUUUCAAAUAUUAAAAGGUAAUAUGUGCUCAUUUUGAAAGUUGAAAUAAUAUAUAAAAUGUGAAAUAAAUUACAUAACAUCCCAAUACAAAAAGGCAAACAGCUAAUGUGCUGAUUUUUUUUCCAGAAUUUUUGAUGCAAAUUUUAACAUAUCAUUAUAGGUUGAUAUAUAAAUUUUGUUACCUAAAAUUUUCUUUGAUCAGGAUGUAGGCAGUGUUUUCUAAUAAUAUUAUUUUUAAAAUAUGAUUUUAAUGGAUGCGUGCAAACUUCAUAUUUUUGAUACAUGAUCUAUUUUGGACGCCUAAAUAAUUUCCUUUUUAAAAAUAAUAUUACAGUAAGCCUAAGUUCUAAAUUCUAUGUGUGCAUAUUCUUUAGAGUAGAAGUGGAAUCCCAUGGUCAAAUAUACGAACUAAUGAAGAUCUCUAGCUAUCCUGGCACAGACCUACACUGUCCUAAAAUCAUUAUUUCAAUGCCUACUCAUUAGAAAUGUGUAAGUGUAUUAGUUCUGCCCAGAAAUAAAACUAGAAUCAUUUAGAAAACAUGCAUUAGUUUAAAAAGGAAAAGUACUUAUCUCAAUAGGGAUUAAUUUAUAUUCAAUUAUAGUGAAUUUGAGCAUUUUUAUUAUGCACACUAGCUGCUUUUAUGUUUUUUAAGUUUGUUUGAACUACCUGUAUUUGUCUUUUGUCUGAUUUUUGAUUGGGAAAGUAGUGUUUUAAAAUGGUUUAUUAGAAAUGCCUGGGUGGCUCAGCGGUUGAGCUCAGGGCGCGUCCCCGGGGUCCUGGGAUCGAGCCUCGCAGGGAGCCUGCUUCUCCCUCUGCCUGUGUCUGCCUCUGUGUGUGUGUCUCAUGAAUGAAUGAAUAAAUAAAAUAGUUUGUUAAAGCUGUUGUUUACAUAUUUAAAUCUUUAACUCUUCAUCUGUUAAGUUAUAAUUUAUUUUUAACUGUUUAAGAUUUAUUCAAUAAUAUCUGCUGAAAUCCUGAUCAGAUCAAGAGUAUUCUGAAUUCUGCUUCUUAGAUAUAUAGAUAUAGAUAUAUAAGGCUGUAUUAUUCGUAAAAUGUGGCACAUAAUACACACUGGUAAAUUAAUUUACCCUUUGUAAUAAAAGUAAAAAGGGAGAAAUACAGGUACCUAUUCACUAUACAUAUUACGUUUUUUUAUAAUAAAUGUUAAACUGAAUAUCUUUAGUCUUCAUUCAGGCAUAGAAAAAUGUAAGUUAAAGUGCUACCGAUUUUCUAAAAGCUAGACCUAUUAUUAUUUUUUAUUUUUUAUUGGAGUUCAAUUUGCCAACAUAUAGCAUAACACCCAGUGCUCAUCCCAUCAAGUGCCCCCCUCAGUGCUCAUCACCCAGUCAUUAUGGUCUCUCAUUCAUUUGGGGAAUAUAGACCUAUUAUUAUUGCCUUUAAAAUUGUGGCACAAAACCUAGAAACCACAUAAAAAAUUCAAAUACUGCUGUAGUAAAAAUAGAACCCACAAAAAUGAAAGUCCAAGUGAAAACUUGGGAAAAAAAAUGGAACAUGUGACAUGUAAUUACCAAGUUUUCCAAACAUACAUAUCAAUAUAAUCUUUAUUUUUAAAUGAGAAAAAUAUUCAAACAGGGAAGAACAACACAGCUUUAAAACAUCAUGUUUCAUACUCUGUAUGUUACAAUUCUGUUUGGCUGUUCUUGAUUAUGUAUAAUUUAAGCCUCUCAGAAUUGUUUAAUUCCUCCCUCUCUAUACUAAUAUAAUUCCUAUAUUUUAUAUAGUUUUCUGAAAAUUAAGGAAAAAGUUUCCUCUUUUCCCUCCCAAAGCUGCAGAAAAGACUAUUCUACAUCAUAAAAUAUGUCCUGACAACAUGGUAUAUUAAGAACAUCCCCAAAAUGUCUAUUGUACUCUCUAGUUCAUUAUGUAGAUAUGUAUGAAAAUGUAUAAUCCUGUUCUGUUACCAAUCAUUAUACAGAACUUGGAUGUUUUAUCUGAGAACCAUUUAUAGAUAGAAUUCAGAGAAUGACGUGAGUAGUGUAACGUAAAGGAAAUUUCCAAAAGUUUGCAACUCCACUUUAUUGCUUUCCAUCAAUUGUUGAUCCCAGUAAUCAUAUUUAUCUGUUUCCUUAAAGGUGUAAGAAAGAAAUAAAAGCUCUAAAAAAAAAAAAAAAAAAAAAAAAAAAAA